GCACUCCUGUGGUACAAUGGACCAGUGUGUCUGGCUGUUAACCAGGAGGUUGGUGAUUCAAGCCCACCCAAGGACA